rnacentral:rRNA from 1 species
AGAGUUUGAUCCUGGCUCAGGAUGAACGCUGGCGGCGCGCCUAACACAUGCAAGUCGAACGGUUAAGGCCCCCUUUAGGGGGCGCAUAGAGUGGCGAACGGGUGAGUAACACGUGACCAACCCGCCCCCCCACCGGGACAACCUCGGGAAACCGAGGCUAAUACCGGAUACGCCGGGGCCCCCGCAUGGGGGCCCCGGGAAAGCCUUGGCGGGAGGGGACGGGGUCGCGGCCCAUCAGGUAGACGGCGGGGCGAAGGCCCGCCGUGCCGACGACGGGUAGCCGGGCUGAGAGGCCGAUCGGCCACAUUGGGACUGAGACACGGCCCAGACUCCUACGGGAGGCAGCAGUGGGGAAUAUUGCGCAAUGGGGGGAACCCUGACGCAGCGACGCCGCGUGCGGGAAGGAGGCCUUCGGGUCGUAAACCGCUUUCAGCAGGGAAGAAGCCUGACGGUACCUGCAGAAGAAGCCCCGGCUAACUACGUGCCAGCAGCCGCGGUAAUACGUAGGGGGCGAGCGUUAUCCGGAUUCAUUGGGCGUAAAGCGCGCGCAGGCGGCCCGCCAAGCGGCCUCGUCGAAGCCGGGGGCUCAACCCCCGGAAGCGACCCGAACUGGCGGGCUCGAGUGGGGCAGGGGAGGAUGGAAUUCCCGGUGUAGCGGUGAAAUGCGCAGAUAUCGGGAGGAACACCGACGGCGAAGGCAGCCCUCUGGGCCUUCACUGACGCUGAGGCGCGAAAGCUGGGGGAGCGAACAGGAUUAGAUACCCUGGUAGUCCCAGCCGUAAACGAUGGGCGCUAGGUGCGGGGGACGACCCUCCGUGCCGCAGCCAACG